rnacentral:tRNA from 1 species
UCAAUGGUAGAGUACUCGG